AGUUUUGCGGAUAUUGGAACGCUUACAACAAUCAAGGUGUUCUAUUGUGAUGAUAAUGUCAAGGCUUCAGCUUUGGAGAUUAAGGAAGAAGUAGAACAACUUCAGGAUGUGACAAUCUCAAGGUCUAUAUUUUUCCACAUUACUCUCGGUAUGUCUUUCUUUUUACUUUUUUAAUUUUUUUCCUGAUAAUUCAAUUUAUGAGUUUAGUUCAUUACGUUAUUGUUGUUAUAACUGCAGAAUAUGUUUAUAUCAUUAUGUUAUGUUACAUUAAUUAUUGUUGUUAAAAAAAUAGGGAACAAAGAGAAUAUGAAGAGGAAGAGAAAGAGGAAGAAGUAGAAGAAGAAGCAGUAGCAGAAGAAAAAGAGAAAGGAGAAGACCAAGCAGCAGCAGAAGUAGAAGAAGAAGCAGUAGCAGAAGAAAAAGAGAAAGGAGAAGACAAAGCAGCAGCAGAAGUAGAAGCAGAAGUAGAAGCAGAAGAAAAAGAGAAGGGAGAAGAAGAAGCAGCGGCAGCGGCAGUCGGUUUCGCCUUUGAUUAGACCCCUACUUUGAUGGAAUAUCAGCUACUAUAUUUAAAGCAAUGGACUGCAAAGACAUUCUUGAAUAUUGCUAAUCUAGUGCUGAAGCUUCCAUGAAGGUUUGUGUACCCCAUCCAUCAUGUCAAUUAUGAUCUUUGAAUCCAUCUCCAGUAUGACAUAGUAUAAGCCCAUAAAAUGAUUGUAUCUCAAGUCAAUUAGUGCAGGCUAGACUUAAUGCCAUGUUGUUAGUGUAGUAGUUGAGCUUUUCUGAGAAGGCAAGCACCAUUGAGCCAUCUUCCCUCUCAUUACGCCUCUCGCUCCUGCUUGCUUCUCUCUCCAUGAAAAGCCUCCAUCUGUAUUGAUAAGCAUGGUGUUCUCAUUACACCAGUAAACUGGAACACCAUAAGUAAUAGGGGAAUAGUGUUUAAAAUGUUUUAUCAAUAGUAACUUGUGUUGAAAAUAAACUGCUAAAUAACUCUAAAUACUGUAGUUUGAGUUUGGCCGUACCUGACAAGCACACUUUCUCUUCCAUAGUUCCUAUGUAACGAAAAUAGGAAGGAUCUUGCAUGAAUUGUUGUACUGAUGCACCCACCAGCUCCAAGAAGGGUUCUAAUCUAGUUAGAAUCCAACCUGAUGCCCAUGGCAUUUGCAAACUAGGUCCACACUCUUAAUUGUCACAUUUUCAAUAAGUGAGAGGUGGUUUCUGAUCGAGGGGACCUACAGCAAGUGCAUUUGGAAAUAAUAUUUUGACUAAAUCUAGAUAAAGUAUCAUCCAAAUGAAAUUUUUUC
rnacentral:lncRNA from 1 species